AAUGAUUUUGUUCAAUGAAUUACUUUUAGUGAUACUAGAAACUCAUAGUCCUAAAAGAAAAAAAAAUCCAGAUCUCAGGAUUUUGGUUUGAGCUGGCUUUUUAGAAAUGUCACUGUCCUACACUGCUAGAAGUAGUGCCUGAAAUGACUGAAAUGUGAGCAGUAAAAAUGGACAAACUGUUCUUUUACAAACACAAGACUCUAGGAGGCUUUUAAGUCUUUCCCCAAGUUUGAACUUGGCUAUGCCUGCUUGGUUGACACUCUACCACUUGAGCCACACCUCUAGCUAGCUUUUUGCUGGUUAUUUUGGAGAUGGAGCCUUGUGGACUUUCUGGCCAGGGCUGAGUUUGGAUCUUGAUCUUCCAGAUCUCAUCUUCCUGAGUAGCUAGGAUUACAGGCCUGAGCCACCAGCCUGGCCUCAUACAUGUUAUUUGACAAUACUAAUUCCAUGAUGUGGACGAGGUAGUAGACAGGACUAUGGGUCACAAAGUAGAUGCUGGAGUUUCUGAUCCAACUGUCAUAGUUACAAUAAAUGCAAUAUGUGUGUCCAGGUGUGGGAGAGGGAGAG